GCGAGAGUGGCGGAAUUGGUAUACGCACUGGACUUAGAAUCCAGCGCCUCAGGCAUGCGGGUUCAAGUCCCGCCUCUCGCACCA
rnacentral:tRNA from 1 species